AUGAAGGCUCUGCAUGACGGCCAUUUCUAUUCCUUUGGAGGACUCAACACCUCGAUCCUCACUCUCCUGCCCAAGAAAGCUAACUCGCUGGAGAUUUGUGACUUUAGACCCACCAAUCUGAUUCAUGGGACAGCCAAGAUCUUUGCUAAGGUUCUUGCUACCUGUCUGGCUCCGCUUCUGCCAAGUCUGAUUUCGAAGGCCCAAAGUGCAUUUGUGACCAGCCGCAAUAUCCAUGAGAACUUCAAGUUUGUGAGGAACAAAGCGAGGUUUCUGCACCGACGGCGCUGCUCUUCGGUGAAAAUUGACAUAUCCAAGGCCUUCGAUACACUAUCCUGGGAAUUUCUGCUGGAGGUCCUGACUGCUAGGGGAUUCGGUAGGAAAUGUCGCUCCUGGAUAUGCGGGCUGCUAUCCACAGCAUCCACCUCCGUUCUCAUCAACGGCGAGCUCUGUACACCCUUCGCCCUAGGCCAGGGUGUCCGCCAGGGCGACCGCAUUUCUCCGGCUUUAUUCAUUCUGGCCAUGGACUCCAUUCACGGCAUGCUGGAAUGGGCAAGAUAG
rnacentral:rRNA from 1 species